UAUCAUUUAAUUGGUUAAGUGAUGAUUAGAAGGCAUAUUGAUAUUAGAUUAUAUUAAUCUAAGAAGGAUUAUUAGUAAGAGUUAGUGGAGUGGUUAGAAUAAGAUAGAUUAUUGGAAUUGAACCAAGUGGCAAGGUGGUAAUUUCCACUCAAUUGGAGGGCUUAAUGGACUUAUGUAUUGCUUGCAUGUGGACAUAAUGGACAUUGGACUUUAAGUGCAUGAGCUUAAGUGUUGUUUGGCUUACACAUCAGAUUUUUAUGGUUGAAGUGGAGCAAUAGAAGCUUAUGUUCUUCCUCAUCACCUUCAUUUUCGCAACCUUUUGGCAGCCCUCACUAAACUGAUCAUAACUCUCUGCUCACAGCUCCGAUUGAGCGCGUUUGAAGUUGAUCAAUGGAUGCUGAAAAUAGGUGUAAAGUGGAAUACGGGUUUGAUGAAUUUGGAGUUGAAGUUUUGGUCAAGUUAGGAGCUCAAUUGCAGCAUGUUCAUCAUCCAAAGCUCCAUUGAUGCAAGGUGAGUCUCUAGUUAGAGACUUGGGGUUUUGUGGGGAAAUUGGAAUUUGGGGAAAAUUGGGGAUUUGUGUGAUAAAAAUCAUUGCAUGUUUGUUUAAUGGAUAAAAUAUGUGUUCUUUGAUGUGAUUAUAUGUUGUAGAAUGAUGAUACAUGAUGGAGUUUGAGUUUGGAUCAUUAGGGAACCUUAGGAAUGUUUUAGGAUGGUUUGGAACUGGUUUUAUGCAGGAAAAUACGUUUUUUGACUCUGCUUCAGUAGCAAAUCGUUUUGCAUGGGUUGUAAAUCGAUUUUCCUUCCUGAAAAUGUCAUUUUUGGGCUCUGCUACAGGUGUAAAUCGAUUGCAGUAAGAUGCAAAUCGAUUGCUUACUGACAGGAAAAUAGCUUUUAUUGUUUUGAUCAUAACUUGAGUUUCGUAACUCGAAAUGAAGCCCGGUCAGAAGCGUUGGAAAGGUCUUUUAAUGAUCUUUAUGAAUAUGCUUAGAUAUAAAGCUUUUAAUUGAUUUAAAAUUUAUGGAAAAUGGAUGUUUAGUUACAUGAUGUCGGAUUAACAUUUAUAGAAUCAAGAAUGGUAUGUUUAAUUCCCCAGAGUGCAGUUCCGUUCCAUGUCGGGAACCGGAAGCCUCUUUGUUAUGAGGCUAAUGUGUGUCCAUGUACGUUCUAAAUAAUUAUAUGGUUUGAUUAUGUUUAAUAUAUUCCAUGAUCGAAACAUAUUUAACUCACAUGUGACGAGUAUGUACAAAUGACAUGAUAUUUAUACGAUGGAUUUUGUCUAAUAUUAUGUGCAUAUAAUACAAUGUAAAUUGUUUUCCCGUCGUUCCGGUUGGACGUUCGGAUGCUUGAUUUUUGUGAACUUGCCUUGGUUGAAUAUGCGUGAAUCGGAGUAUAACCGUACUACUAGGAUAGUAAAUCCUGUUUACCCACUAUGUGGAUGCCCAUUGGUAGCCCGUGUGGCGUUUGUGUUAUGUAUUAUAUACCAUGGAUGAUUUGGCUUUAUGCCUGUUGUAUAUACGUGUCUAUAUCCGUAUAUUUUGCGUUACCUGAGCUACUAUUGCGGUGGAAGCAAGUGAGGGUCUUUAAUGGCGUUUCCCACUUGGUAACUCACCUGCGUGAUUAGUAUGGUAAGUGGGUGAUGCCACGUAGGCAAUCACUGAAUUACUUGCCUCUAGUAACGUCAAUUAGACAGUGUUACUAGGCUUUCUCCCGGUGGGCUUGUACGUCGAAGAGAAUGUAUUGCACCUGUUUACUCACUUGCGUAUAAAGGAUGAAUACCAUUGCAGUGGAAGCAAGACCGGGGUCUUUAAUGGCGUUUCCCACUUGGUAACUCACUGGCGUGCUUGGUGAUGAGGUUGUAAAUGCCACGUAGGCAAUGGUACAACUUAACUCAUCUCGGGUGGAAUUCCAUAUAGGAAUGACCCGAAUUCAUCGUGCGGUGUGCUUGUGCAAGUCUUUCGACAUAUAUGUACUUGGAUACUCAUCGAGGGUACGUGGCAGAGGUAGCCUAGUUAGAUGGGUAUAACUCCUUGAUUCCUCACAUAAGGAUGUGAGUUUGCAUAUUGUGAAUUGUUGUUUUAUUGAACGCCUCAUUGGAUAGUUAAGGGACUUCCAAUUGUGGUGAUACCCUUGUUUGUAUUUGCACCUAAACGUGAGGCAUAACCCCGGAUUCUAGGUGAAUCUUUUUAUGAUGCAUGUACCUUGUAGAACCGAGCAAACCCUUAAGAUAGGGAGGCUCACUGAGAUUUAGUAAUCUCACCCCAAUCAACUUAUUUUUUUUCCAGGUGCAGUUUAGUAGCGUUUGAUCAGUAGCAGGUUUGGACUGAAGACUUGGAAGUGAUGACGGCUCGGAGAUCUCGUCUGAUCUCAUCUUCCCGCCGUGCAGAUCCAUCGAGGACACAUUUUUUGUAAUUCUUAAUAGGAUUUCAUGUUGUAUUUUAUAUGGAUCUUUCUAUAACUAUCGCUUUUGUAUGUACUCAAUAUCAAUUUUAACGUUUCAUGCAUAAUAUACUAGUCAGUUAUGUAUGGGGUGUUACAGUUGGUAUCAGAGCAGGUCGAUUCUCGGCCGAGCCAUGAGACAUCACUAGCAAUUCUUUUUCUCCUCUCAAGUGUGCGUUGCCAGCCUGAUUUUACUGAUAUCUCAUUCAGUUGUUGAACUUGAUCAACUCAUCGACUGAGUGUGAGACAGUAGGAUUACGGUAGAGCCGCCACGAGGACUCGUAAACCUGUAGUGUCGAGAACCCAAGUAGAAAGGAUCAGUUGGGUGGUGGAUUGUAUAUGGAAGCUGGAUUUAUUGGACGACGUAAGUAGAAGGAAUAUUGGAGUUGUCAGGAUUAAGAGGAGCAUUUGACGCAAAGAAGUAAUACCCGAACUGUCAAGGUGUGGAUCGAGACAACUAGAACCCCCAGGAUUUGGAUGGGACAGAGUGAAACCUUCUCUAAGUCUUGGUAAUAGCAAGGGAAAGUCCGGACAGGACUGAGAAAGGGCCUUGUAAGUGAGAUUCUCCGAAGGUGUUGAGCUGGGAUUUAGUAGGAUUCAGUACUGAUGAUGCUGCCGGUGUUAAGUGCGACUGAUGAGUUGAUAGGACAGAAUAACCUUUGGAAGUGUGGACACAAAAGUUAGACCUUUCUGAUUGCGCUGGUACGGAUAGUAAUUGGAUGGGUGAAGUAUUAGAUCCUGAUUUAACUUGAAGUAACCUAAGCGAGAGUAGUUUCCUAGUGAAGGUUCGUGGAAUAUACGAACGUGGUAACUUACGAUUGGGCGAGGCUUGAAUACUCGGUCGAUGGAAGAGGAUGUGUAUUUCUAUUCUUAUCAUUUUAUAUUUAAGUUAUAGAACUACGCUAGAUGGAAUAUGAAAUGAUGUAGAAGCGUGAAAUGCAGUAACCUAAGUUCUUGUUAGUUGUUGUUCGUCUGACCCCGAGUGAAGCCAUAGAACUACGCUUGGCAUUGGGCGUUCAGGCGAGUAAGAACUAAGAUCUAUCUGGAACGUCAAUAGGAUGAUCGCAGUUGCGUUGGUUGUUAGGAACCAUAGUAUUCCUAUCUGGACUGAAUUAUCCUUGGAAUCUCAUGCAUGCGUGGGACGAGUGGGUACACGCACUGCAUGGUAAUCCGAAGUUGAACUUCAAUCUUCGUGCUUGGCGUUUUGGCCUUCCGAAUAAGUAACCUUGAUGUGUAGCAAUCUUAGGUUUUAGCAUCCUAAGGAGUGUGAUUCGAAAGACUUGAGGAACGAUGAACCUAUUGGAGGCCUGUUCAGACACUUGUCGGUUGUGACUUUAGGAUACGCGUGGAUAUCGUUAUACGCCACAGAGGUAGGUUACCUGGAUACAUGGUCUCGGAGUUGAACCACCAUGUUGGUACUACCAGACGGGUAUAAUGCCACAGUAUCGCUAUCGUGCACAAGAUGCGUGAGUCAUCCUUUUUCCGACAUGUGUGGGACAAAGGUGAUCUGAAGCUCAAGGUAGAAUUCUGAUUUGGCACUCAUGAGACACAGAUCCAGACUCUCAUAAGGUAUGUAGGAUAAGGAUUCAUACGUCGCGCUCGAUAGUAGAGGAAUAACUAGACAGGCGAUGGUGAGAUGGAUCAAGAUCCGAUACUAUGCUUAUAGAGACUCUGAAUGAUCAUGCUCGCGCAAGUUAGAGACAGAUUAUACCUUGCAAACGUUCUCGUUUCAUGAAGUGUUAAGUUGGCAAUUUUGCAUGAGUGUCUAGAGUGGGACUCAUGUGCGGUCAUGAUACCCUGGUCAGCAUAGUGAGUGACUAUCAUGUAUCAUUGGCAACCGGUGAUGGAAUAUGCAAAUUGUAUCUUGGAAUAAUUUUAUGUGUGACGUAUCUGGUAGAGUUUCUAUAGAUACUCUGAGUGAAGAAAUGUCAAUCUUGGUAAAGCAUAGACAUUUUUGGUUUGAGAACUUCUGAGGAGUUUAUAAGAGAGAUGUUCGAAAUUCAAAGUACAAUUUCUCGCAUUGUGACUACACUCCGACCGUUGGAAGCACUGCAAUGAAGGAUGCAGCCGCCGAGGAAGUCAGUUUAAUGCCAGAUUCAGCGGUAGAGCAGACAUUAGAUGAAUGUGUGGAUGGAGUGUGGCUAUGAGGGGAUUGUUAUAUCAGUAAGUCUCACAAGUUAUCAGAGGUGACUCUGCGCUAAGAGAAUGAAGCCGUUUGGUUGGGAAGAAGCGAUGCUAAACCGACGGAGUUAUCGUAAGCUGCGAAGCGUUGGUGAAAGAAUCAUUAUAACGGUUGAGUAACAAGACUUGUUGUAAGGAAAAAAAAACAUAUCAGUUGUACGCUGUGGAAAUCAGUGACAAGGACGAACCCCUAAGUCAGUGGGUAUUUGGGUUUCAAUGUCCUGAGAUCGAAAAGUGUGCCUAAGUUAUGGUAGAUGAACUAAUAUGGAAUGGCAGAGUAAGUAGAAACUUGAUUCUAGAGAGUACGCAACUUCGAGGAGUAGUAGUCGACAAUGGAUGUAUAUGGAGUUCUGCCACGUGUUGUAAUUGGACAACUAUGGAUAAGGAAUUAUUGUGUAUUAAAGGAAGCCAAGUGAAUUAUGGAUAUAACGUGACUCAGAGGAUUUCAAGGUGUGUGACUUGUUGGAAUCAGAGUAGCGCAAAGGAUCAAGGAAGAAUCAGAUAAGUCUGAGGUAGGAACGAACAGACUAUUUGUAGGAUUUUAUGUUGGAAUGAAGGUAUCUUCCUAAGGGAAAUUGUCGAAGCGGCGUUUCGUUCAUUCCAGUCUCUAAAGGAUCACCAUAACUCGAGAGGUGUUGUCAAUGGGCCAGCUUGGGAAUACAUUUGGUGGAAGGUAUGCGGUCCGAAGUUCGUAGGUCAUCCGUUUAGCUUGUAUGUCACAAGGGUUGGACUAAGUAUUGUGACCGCUGAAAUGUUGAAGACCAGUGAGGAUUCUCAAUUGGCGCAAGUUCUUCGUGGUUAUGUCUUGUGCACUGUGAGCGUGCGUGAAGAGUUGGACAAUGGUCGUCGGGUAGCGUUUGGAAUUCACCGUUCAUCGGUGGAACCUUGGGUGAAGUUGUGGAAUGCUACAACAUCAUGGAUUGCGGUAAUGAUUGAUACAUCUAGGACUGAGGUGAGAAUCGAUUAAGGAGGAUCAGUUGUAUAAGUAGAGGUAAACUUGGGACAACCGUCCUAAGACUUUGGGAACCGGAAGUUGAGACUAAGACAUUUGGCUAACGCCUAAUGACAAUGUAUGGACUCGAGUGGAGAAAAAUUUGAAGUGUUAUCGCAGAAGUGACGUUGUGGCAGUAAUUCUCAAACGGGAAGUAAUUCAAGGAGCUGAGUGGAUCAGUAAUGUUUGUCGAAUGAGGGUGAGCAUAUUAGAGAAUGAAAUGAAGGAUAUCCAACAUGAGUGGAUUAUUAGAGUUUCUGAAGUUCUAGGGAUUCAGUGCAGAGCAGUGAAGGUCAAGGACCCUGGAAGGAUCUUUCCCCAGAUAUGUCAAGAUGAAGUAUCUGGAUAGACGUGUUGCUUGAGAGUCAAGGUUCUAACCAUGCAUAGUGGGACGCAGGUGUUUUGGCAGAUUGUGUUUCUUCAUAUGGAAUGACCCUCAGACAGAGUAAUGAGAUUAUCUGAAGAGAAAUGUAAGGAACAUUUCAUCCCCUGGUUGGUAUAGAUUUGGACACGUUGUUUCCGUGGUGACCGGAAAGAAUUCGAGGACGAAUUCAAUUUAAGGGGGGGAGAAUGUAAUACCCCGAUUCUCCGACACAAGUUAAUUAUCAUUUAAUUGGUUAAGUGAUGAUUAGAAGGCAUAUUGAUAUUAGAUUAUAUUAAUCUAAGAAGGAUUAUUAGUAAGAGUUAGUGGAGUGGUUAGAAUAAGAUAGAUUAUUGGAAUUGAACCAAGUGGCAAGGUGGUAAUUUCCACUCAAUUGGAGGGCUUAAUGGACUUAUGUAUUGCUUGCAUGUGGACAUAAUGGACAUUGGACUUUAAGUGCAUGAGCUUAAGUGUUGUUUGGCUUACACAUCAGAUUUUUAUGGUUGAAGUGGAGCAAGAGAAGCUUAUGUUCUUCCUCAUCACCUUCAUUUUCGCAACCUUUUGGCAGCCCUCACUAAACUGAUCAUAACUCUCUGCUCACAGCUCCGAUUGAGCGCAUUUGAAGUUGAUCAAUGGAUGCUGAAAAUAGGUGUAAAGUGGAAUACGGGUUUGAUGAAUUUGGAGUUGAAGUUUUGGUCAAGUUAGGAGCUCAAUUGCAGCAUGUUCAUCAUCCAAAGCUCCAUUGAUGCAAGGUGCAGUUUAGUAGCGUUUGAUCAGUAGCAGGUUUGGACUGAAGACUUGGAAGUGAUGACGGCUCGGAGAUCUCGUCUGAUCUCAUCUUCCCGCCGUGCAGAUCCAUCGAAGACACAUUUUUUGUAAUUCUUAAUAGGAUUUCAUGUUGUAUUUUAUAUGGAUCUUUCUAUAACUAUGGCUUUUGUAUGUACUCAAUAUCAAUUUUAACGUUUCAUGCAUAAUAUACUAGUCAGUUAUGUAUGAGGUGUUACAGUUGGUAUCAGAGCAGGUUGAUUCUCGGCCGAGCCAUGAGACAUCACUAGCAAUUCUUUUUCUCCUCUCAAGUGUGCGUUGCCAGCCUGAUUUUACUGAUAUCUCAUUCAGUUGUUGAACUUGAUCAACUCAUCGACUGAGUGUGAGACAGUAGGAUUACGGUAGAGCCGCCACGAGGACUCGUAAACCUGUAGUGUCGAGAACCCAAGUAGAAAGGAUCAGUUGGGUGGUGGAUUGUAUAUGGAAGCUGUAUUUAUUGGACGACGUAAGUAGAAGGAAUAUUGGAGUUGUCAGGAUUAAGAGGAGCAUUUGACGCAAAAAAGUAAUACCCGAACUGUCAAGGUGUGGAUCGAGACAACUAGAACCCCCAGGAUUUGGAUGGGACAGAGUGAAACCUUCUCUAAGUCUUGGUAAUAGCAAGGGAAAGUCCGGACAGGACUGAGAAAGGGCCUUGUAAGUGAGAUUCUCCGAAGGUGUUUGUCAUACCCCAAUUUUUGACCUAAGAUACCACCCCAUAUCAUUUGCAUAUGCAUCUCUAACAAACUGCAUAGCUUGUGUUUGUUACUUGUGACUCAGCAGGAUUUAAUCAGGAAAUCACUCAUCAGUACAAGUAACAAUCAAUUAGGGUUUUGUUCUCCCUUCAUCUCAAAAGAACUAUCUUCAUCAACAACCAACAUUUGGUCCCCAGAGAUUCACUUCAACAAACUCAACAGCUUUGAAUCGACUGAAUUAGGGUUUUGACUGAAGAUAGCAUACUCCUGACUUUUGCCCACGAUUUGACCUAAAGACUUGGGACAUGACCUCAAGACCCCAAGUGCAUCAUUUUGACCUAAUCCAUUGGCUCAGAACAUCUCUUACACAAAGAUUGAUCAGACAAAUCCUCAGAAUUAGGGUUUUGAACUAUCAGGGACUGAAAUCAGGGAUCACAUUUGGGAAACCCUAAAAAUCCCCAGGAAGUCAAUCAAAGGUUUCAAUCAUCUUCAAAUAAUCCCUAUGACAAUAUACAAUGGAAAUUGUACCUCAAUUCAAGAUCCACAGUCAUCAAUUUCAUCUGGUUGACAAUUAGGGUUUUUGACCUGAUUCACUGAACAACUGACUUUUUAAUCAGGACAUGGUGUCAUAACUCAAACUAUGGCUCAAUAUCCUCUAAUGCUUCAAUGUGAUCCAUUCAUACCAUUCAUUUGGUGAGGAUAGCCUACUUCAUUUGAAAUCUCCAGAAACACGAUUCGUUUGAAAAAGUCCACUGUAUAAGAUCACCAUUGACUUUUGGGGAAUUUUGGUCAACCAUGACUUUUGAAGUUUUAAAUCAUCAAUAUAUGAUAUGAGAAGUCAUUUGAUCAAGGAAAAUCAAGAAAAUCAAUCAAGAAUCAAAAGUCAAAAGUUUGACUUUUCAUACUUAGAAAAAUUUCUAAGUGUUUUUCAAUGGUUUUUCCCAAACUUUGGAAGGGAAUAACUCAAAAUUUCACCUACAAACUGAAAAACACUUCCAACAUGAAAGUUGUAGAUUUUGAUCCAAUAAACAACUUUGACACAUAUAAAUUUUUUCCAUAAGAUCAACCAUUUAAGAGAUAUGGUGCUUCAAAGUUGGUAUCUUUGGAAAAUUUCACUUAAAACUUCAUUUUCUUCAAAGUUCAUGGAUCUUUUUCAUCCACUUCCUUAAAGAUCUUGAAGAAACUUUCAACUAGGGUUUUGAAGUGUGUCAUAUGAGCUUUCCAAAAUGUCCAAGAGCAUGAAAAAAUUUGAAGUGUAGCUAUGGUUUUGAAUUUUGACAUUAGUGAACUUUUCACUUGAAAUUUCAUGCCAUUUUCACUAAGUUAUGAGCCAAUUUGCCAAAUGAUCCAAAUAAUGAUGCAUAGAGGCAAUAAUUGGAGAUAUUUUUCUGAUUUGAGAUCAGAAUAGAAGAGGAUAAGAAGCUUGAGUUUUAACCAUGGUUUGGUCACUUUAACCAUUUUGCAUUAAAUGUAAAAGAUUCCUUUUUAUCUCUUAAGCCAAAUCAUCAUUCUUGAAUCAACUUGCAAGGGCUUUGAGUUCAGAAUCCUUGGCCUAUAAAUAGAGGUUCAAAUCAUCUUCAAACUCACACCAAAACCUCAUAAACAUAGGUUUUCUCUUCCUUUCUUAGAAUGCAAGUUUCAUGGUUUUCAAAAGAGGUAAAAUUCUCAACCUCUAAAUCUUUGAAGUUCUAAGUAAAGUGAUGCUUCCAACACUUCCCAAAUAUCAUAUGGAUGUUGUUUGAACCUUUGAAACCUUCCAAAAACAUCAAAAACUCAGAAUCACUACCUCACUUCCCAAAUAUGCAUAACACUAGCCUUAUCAUGCCAAAAUCAAAUCCAGGCCAAUUCUGUCCAAGCUAAUCAUCCAAACACAUUCCAUAUACCAUAUAUGAACUGUUCCAACCAUCAUACAUGAUCUGAAACACCAAAAUCACUAAGCUUGAUCCUCACUUGAACCAUACUGCAGAUCGAGUACCAUGGAUUGAUCAAGAGGUUUUCAAAUUGUUCCAGGCAUCCAAACAUGUUCCAUAAGGUCCACUGAAGGUGUUCAGAUCAAGAAACAACAUCUGGAAUCCCUCAUUUGCAGAAUUCGAUUUCCAGUUUUGCCAUUUUUAAGGUAAGCCCUCUUGAACUUCAAACUCAUACAUACACGCAUCAUAAAUGAAAUAUUGCUUUUCCAUCAUGUUUCUGCAUACAUAUGGAUCAUUAACCCUCAAUCAAUUGCAUCAUAACUUGCACAUACACGAUUUCAGAUUGAAUCAUAGAAUUAGGGUUCUUCGUGUUCAUCAGAAAAUUAAUGAUCUUAGAGUGAAAAUAAAUGAAAUUAAAGGUCACCAUCAUUUUCCUUGUGAAAAACCGAGUGAAAUAGACCCUUUGAUCGAUCAAAACAACACAGAUUUGAAGAAGUUCAAAAUUCAGUUAGGGUUGUGUUCUUGGCGCGUUUUUUCGUUCAAAGAAUUCAAAUAUUUGUUUUAAAAUAUAAUGCAUUGGAAGCGUAUGAAUAACAAGCUGCACGCGCAGCUCGCUUGGUUCAUGUUUUGAGUAGUAAACACAAGGGCGUGGGUUCAAGCCCUUUGGAAGACAAAACCUUUUUUUUAUCACUAUUUUUCUCUAUUUUCUUCACAAACUUCACCAAUUAAUUUAACCCAUCAAAUUAAUUUAUUUUCUCUUCAUUUUUUACACACCUCUUAUUUAAUAUACAUAUUUUGACAAUAUCAAAA